CCUACGGGAGGCAGCAGUGGGGAAUAUUGCGCAAUGGGCGAAAGCCUGACGCAGCGACGCCGCGUGAGGGAUGAAGGUCUUCGGAUCGUAAACCUCUGUCAGCAGGGAAGAACGGUCACGGGGCUAAGCAGCAGUGAAUGGACGGUACCGGCAAAGGAAGCACCGGCUAACUCCGUGCCAGCAGCCGCGGUAAUACGGAGGGUGCGAGCGUUAAUCGGAAUUACUGGGCGUAAAGCGCGCGUAGGCGGUAUGUCAAGUCAAGGGUGAAAUCCCCGCGCUCCACGUGGGAACUGCCUUUGAAACUGGCAACCUGGAGUGUGUGAGUGGAUAGUGGAAUUCCAGUUGUAGGCGU
rnacentral:rRNA from 1 species